CCUACGGGGGGCAGCAGUAGGGAAUAUUGCGCAAUGGGGGAAACCCUGACGCAGCGACGCCGCGUGAGUGAUGAAGGCCUUCGGGUCGUAAAGCUCUGUUAUAUGGGAAUAUGUACCAUGUGAGAAAGGAUCGGCUAACUUCGUGCCAGCAGCCGCGGUAAGACGAGGGAUCCUAGCGUUGCUCGGAAUCAUUGGGCGUAAAGCGGGUGUAGGUGGCUUUGUAAGUCAGGUGUGAAAGCCCAGGGCUCAACCCUGGAAGUGCAUUUGAUACUGCGAAGCUUGAGUGUGGGAGAGGCGGAAUACCUGGUGUAGUGGUGAAAUACGUAGAUAUCAGGUGGAACACCGGAGGCGAAGGCGGGUAGCUGGCCAAACUGACACUCAGACCCGAAAGCGUGGGGAUCAAACAGGAUUAGAUACCCUUGUAGUC
rnacentral:rRNA from 1 species